rnacentral:lncRNA from 1 species
AAAAAGUACCCGCCGACAAUGGGUCCGCCGGCCGGGGCAGCGUCGGGCAUAAAAAGGCAAGAAAAACCUCAGCUCUUUGUUUAUUCUGAUUUUUAUUGGUUGACGAUGGUAGUGAUUUUGUUAUUGACUAUAGGUUGCUUGAAAAUUUGACUGUUUCGUUGUUGAAGCUAAACCGGCGAUCUAAGUGUUUUCUAUUUGAAAAUUUAACGGUUUUCUAUUUGAAAAUUUUGAUCAAUUGAUCAAUUUUAGGAAAAUUCCAACAAUCAUGUUUAACAAAAGAGCACUUGUUUAGCUCGAUUUUUAGGAGUAGUCUUGUAGUUCUUGAGUAAUCAGCGCAAACGGUAUGAAAAUGGUAUUAAAUGGUAGUUUAAUCCACUGUGAAUCUGUUUUUCCAGCCAACUUUCAUUUGGUGGAAACAAUCUUUGUUUUUAUUGUUUUGAUAUUAUUACUAUUUAAGUGAGUUCUUUGGAUCGUUUAGCUUUGAUGAUCAUUAGAUUAGAAAAGGGUUUAGAACAUGAGCAAUGGAAACAGAGAUAUGAUUUGAAAAAUUGGGACGAUGUUUCGUUUAGG